rnacentral:rRNA from 1 species
AUCCUGGCUCAGGAUGAACGCUAGCGGCAGGCUUAACACAUGCAAGUCGAGGGGUAUGCUUCUUCGGGAGCAGAGACCGGCGCACGGGUGCGUAACGCGUAUGCAAUCUACCUUUUACAGAGGGAUAGCCCAGAGAAAUUUGGAUUAAUACCUCAUAGUAUAUAGACUCGGCAUCGAGAUUAUAUUAAAGUCACAACGGUAAAAGAUGAGCAUGCGUCCCAUUAGCUAGUUGGUAAGGUAACGGCUUACCAAGGCUACGAUGGGUAGGGGUCCUGAGAGGGAGAUCCCCCACACUGGUACUGAGACACGGACCAGACUCCUACGGGAGGCAGCAGUGAGGAAUAUUGGACAAUGGGCGCAAGCCUGAUCCAGCCAUGCCGCGUGCAGGAUGACGGUCCUAUGGAUUGUAAACUGCUUUUGUACAGGAAGAAACACNGUUCGUGAACCAGCUUGACGGUACUGUAAGAAAUAAGGAUCGGC